rnacentral:rRNA from 1 species
AUUGAACGCUGGCGGCAGGCUUAACACGUGCAAGUCGAGCGGGGGAAGGUAGCUUGCUACUGGACCUAGCGGCGGACGGGUGAGUAAUGCUUAGGAAUCUGCCUAUUAGUGGGGGACAACAUCUCGAAAGGGAUGCUAAUACCGCAUACGUCCUACGGGAGAAAGCAGGGGAUCUUCGGACCUUGCGCUAAUAGAUGAGCCUAAGUCGGAUUAGCUAGUUGGUGGGGUAAAGGCCUAACAAGGCGACGAUCUGUAGCGGGUCUGAGAGGGUGAUCCGCCAAACUGGGAGUGAGACACGGCCCAGACUCCGACGGGAGGCAGCAGUGGGGAAUAUUGGACAAUGGGGGGAACCCUGAUCCAGCCAUGCCGCGUGUGUGAAGAAGGCCUUAUGGUUGUAAAGCACUUUAAGCGAGGAGGAGGCUACUCUAGUUAAUACCUAGGGAUAGUGGACGUUACUCGCAGAAUAAGCACCGGCUAACUCUGUGCCAGCCGCCGCUGUAA